rnacentral:lncRNA from 1 species
AAUUCAUAGCUUUUGUUGGAUUAUAUAUUGGAGCUAAGAAAGUUUAGCCAUGUAAACAGGUUCCAGUUUCACCAAAGAAUAGUGUGGAUCCAGCCAUCUUUCAUAAAGUGGUGAGUAUAUAUAUAUAUAUAUGAAUGAGACUUAUUAGUUCAAUGAAAACAGCUAAAUCUUCUGAGCUAUCAACAAAAUGCGCAUAUGUGUUCUUAAACACUUAAUAAGCACAGGCUUUAAUAAUGGUUAGUAGGGAAAUAAAGUUCUGUAAUAUUUCCAUUUUCAGAAGUAAUCUAAAUAAACUGCCAAAAAUGGGAAAAUUGGGUACAUAUAAAUGAGAUAAAUGCUUGUAAGUAAACUUUGUAUGAUUUAAAAUCUUAAAAUCAUUUUGGUUCUUGUUUGAUGUGUGGGUCAUUUUCAUGAAGAGUAGGGGUUAUUAUAUGGGAAGCAUGUUCCAGAAAUUGUAGAAUGGUUCUCAUACAUAAAAUGCUAAUAUCUGAUAGGCAGUUCAGAAUUUCUUGCUUCCUAGGUUUAUAUAAAAUGUGCCAAAGAAGAUGUGUUCUUAUUGAGAAAAAGAAUAAUUUUGUCUAAUUCUAAAGUUAUCUAGAAGUUAAUUCAAAUUAUGGACUUGAAAAGGCUAUUGCUUCCACAUAACUUUCUAUAUUGCUUUUAAACUCCUUGUGCUGCUGAGUUACAAGGCUUUGGGCUGGGUGCGGUGGCUCACACCUGUAAUCCCAGCACUUUGGAAGGCCAAGGUGGGCAGAUCACCUGAUGUCAGGUGGGCAGAUCACCUGAUGUCAGGAGUUCAAGACCAGCCUGGUGAAACCCUGUCUCUACUGAAAAUACAAAAAUUAGCCGGGCUUGGUGGCACACUCUUGUAAUCCCAGCAAUUUGGGAGGCUGAGGCAAGAGGAUUGCAUGAACUUGGGAGGCGGAGGUUACAGUGAGCCGAGAUGGUGCCAUUGCACUCCAGCCUAGGCGGCAGAGUGAGACUCCAUCUCAAAAAAAAAAAAAAAAAAAUUACACAGCUUUGACUCUUGGGUCUAAAAAGAUCACAUGAUAAUGCUGUGUCUAGCCUUAAUUCUUGUGAGCAGUUAAAAUUCUUUGUAAGUUCAACAGUGACUGCUCUAGGACCUUAUGGGAAGAGCAGUGGCACCUGUCCCAUGCUGUAGCUCAGUAGCUGAGGCUUUGCUAUUUUUUUUUUUUUUCGAGACAGUCUCACUCUGUCACCCACGCUGGAGUGCAGUGGCGCGAUCUCAGCUCAUUGCAAGCUCAGCCUUCCGGGUUCACGCCAUUCUCCUGCCUCAGCCUCUCAAGUAGCUGGGACUGCAGGCGCCUGCCGCCACGCCCGGCUAAUUUUUGUAUUUUUAGUAGAGACAAGGUUUCACCCUGUUAGCCAGGAUGGUCUCGAUCUCCUGACCUUGUGAUCCACCUACCUUGGCCUCCCAAAGUGCUGGGAUUACAGGCGUGAGCCACUGCGCCUGGCCAAGGCUUUGCUUUUUUACAGUGGAGGCUUGGGUUCAACUUCUGGCUUAGGGAAUGAGUCCUUUCUGCUUUGUUAUUUCUGUGACCAUUUGCCAUUUAUUAAUACUUUUUCUCUCCAUGAACAGCUUCUGAUUUCCUGUCUUAAAAUUUUCCUUUCUUUGAGCUAUAUUUCGGGGGCAGUUCCAGGUAAAAACCAUUUGCCAUCCCUUUGAAAAUACCUUGUGCACCUGUGGUUGUUGUACCCUCAAGGCUUAUUGAUUUCACAUAGGAGGUUACCUUUAGUUAAGUUAAAAAAAAAAAAAAAAAGGCAAGUACAUAUAUUUUCAAAAGCCAGAAAUAUCAGCUGUUUGUCCUGGCUAAAAUCUGGUAAUAAUAGAUUUCUUUUUCUUUUUUUUUUUCUUUUUUUGAGACAGGAUCUCACUCUGUCACCCAGGUUGGAGUGCAGUGGCAUAAUCAUGGCAUACCACAGCCUCAACCUCCUGGGCUCACAUGAUCCUCCCACCUCAGCCUCCUGAGUGACUGGGACUACAGAUGUCCACCACCAUGCCUGGCUAAUUUUUGUAUUUUUUGUAGAGACGGAGAUUUGCCAUGUUGGCCAGGCUGGUCUCAAACUCCUGACCUCAAGUGAUCUGCCCACCUCAGCCUCUCUAAGUGUUGGGAUUACAGGCGUGAGCCAACACGCCCUGCCGAGGUUUUUAAAAUAUUUUUCUUUUGAGAGUUCCGUAGUUAGAAAUAAACUUAAUUUAGACUGGUGUUUGCGUUUUAUGUGUACGGAUAAUGUCUUAAGGCCCCUGCUUUCCCUCUAAAAACUUCUUAGUCAACAGAAUUCUGUCUGAUUCUUUAUUUACUCUUGUCUGGUCUUGUAUCUAACCUUUUAUCACCCUACCAGAUCUGCUUCUGUAUGUCUAUGUGUGUCUAUUCAUUAUGUGUCAUGUGCAAUGUUUCACUACCAAAACUUAUGAAAGGGUUUUUUUUUUUUAUACUUUAAGUUCUAGGGUACAUGUGCAUAACGUGCAGGUUUGUUACAUACAUACACAUGUGCCAUGUUGGUGUGCUGCACCCAUUAACUUGUCAUUUACAUUAGGUAUAUCUCCUGAUGCUGUCCCUCCCCCAUAACUGGCCCCGGUGUGUGAUGUUCCCCUUCCUGUGACCAAAUGUUCUCAUUAUUCAAUUCCCACCUAUGAGUAAGAACAUGCGGUGUUUGGUUUUUUGUCCUUGUGAUAGUUUGCUGAGAAUGAUGGUUUCCAGCUUCAUCCAUGCCCUACAAAGGACAUGAACUCAUCCUUUUUUAUGGCUACAUAGUAUUCCGUGGUGUAUAUAUGCCACAUUUUCUUAAUCCAGUCUAUCAUUGAUGGACAUUUGUGUUGGUUCCAAGUCUUUGCUAUUGUGAAUAGUGCUGCAGUGAACAUACGUGUGCAUGUGUCUUUAUAGCAGCAUGAUUUAUAAUCCUUUAGGUAUAUAACCAGUAAUGGGAUGGCUGGGUCAAAUGGUAUUUCUAGUUCUAGAUCCUUGAGGAAUCGCCACACUGUCUUCCACAAUGGUUGAACUAGUUUACAGUCCCACCAACAGUGUAAAAGUUUUCCUAUUUCUCCACAUCUUCUCCAGCACCUGUUGUUUCCUGACUUUUUAAUGCUCGCCAUUCUAACUGGUGUGA